rnacentral:rRNA from 1 species
UACGAAGGGGGCUAGCGUUGCUCGGAAUGACUGGGCGUAAAGGGCGCGUAGGCGGAUGGUACAGUCAGAUGUGAAAUUCCUGGGCUCAACCUGGGGGCUGCAUUUGAUACGUGCUGUCUUGAGUUCGGAAGAGGGUCGUGGAAUUCCCAGUGUAGAGGUGAAAUUCGUAGAUAUUGGGAAGAACACCGGUGGCGAAGGCGGGUCUCUGGGCCGUAACUGACGCUGAGGAGCGAAAGCGUGGGGAGCGAACAGG